UCGAUAGGGUGGCAAAUGAUC
ensembl:piRNA 21ur-5402 ncRNA